CACAUUCUCUAGGAGUUGGAACUCAGUUUCCAUCCAUGUCCUGCCCUGGGCUGUGGCCUGUCCAUCCCAACCAUGGCUGGUCUGGGGAUUAAUUUAUCCUUCUGGGCUUGAGAUACCAAACAAGUAACCCCUGCCCUCAAUGGAACCCCAGUGGUACACUUCUCACCCAGGGAAUUCUGGAUUUCGACGAGAGACCCAUUCUCCUGAGGAGCCUGAGCUCUACACGGCCGUGGCUGAAGCCCCUCCACAGGGUUCCUCUGGGGCCCUUGGCAAGGUGUACAUCCCUC